rnacentral:rRNA from 1 species
UUUAACUAUUUCUUUUGAUUAUGGAGAAUUAAAGGCAUGAAGAUUGUUUAUACAUGUUUGCGAAAGCUUAUAAGUGAGUAAAUUCUAUAUUUAGAUUUGUAUCAGGAUAAAUAAUAUAAUAUUUUUUUAACCUAAGACGCAUAGUUUUAUAACCACGUUUUAACUGAAACAAAGAAAAACGAAUGACAGCAGUAAAGAAACCUAAACAAUUAAUUAAUGUUAGAUUUGGUUUUCUUCUUUAACUUUGUCUAAAUAAGUGCCAGCAGACGCGGUUAAACUUAUGAAGUGAGUCUUUAACUAAAAACAGAUUAAAUGUGUAGAAAUUUUUAUAUUACAUAAUUAACAUUUUUGAAUUGGUAAAAUAUACAAAAUAAGUAUUUCUAAAUGAUAAGUUUUUAUGUAAAAUAUUUUGAAACAUGAAAAAAAAGGUAAUAAAUAGGAUUAGAUACCCUAGUAAUCUUUUUUGUAAAUUAAUAUAUUUAUCUGAACAAUACACUUUUAAAAGUGAAAAUCAAAGAUUUUGGCUGUUUACUUUACCAACUAGAGGAAUAUGUAAUUUAAUUCGAUUUUCCGCGAAAAACCUUACCUAUUUUUGAAAAAUUCAAGUGUUGCAUGGUUGUCGUCAGUUUAAAUUUAUAAUUUAAAUAUAACCUUAAAUAAGGAGAAGUCAAAUGUUAUGGCCUUUAUAAAUAGGGGUAUUAUGUAUUACAAUUUUUAAAAUAAUUAAAAUUUAAAAUUGGAAAAUUAAUGUAAUUUAAUUAGAAAGAGGAUUUAGUAGUAAUUGAAGAAAUAAUGCUUCAAUGAAGAGGUUAAUGUAUUAGUACAAAUUGCCCGUCGCCUUUAUUAAUAUUAAAAUUAGAAAUAGAGCAAGUCGUAACAUAGUGGGUGUAAGGGAACUUGUACCUGCAGUAAA